AAAGCGUGCGCAGGCGGUUAUGUAAGACAGAUGUGAAAUCCCCGGGCUCAACCUGGGAACUGCAUUAGUGACUGCAUAGCUGGAGUACGGCAGAGGGGGAUGGAAUUCCGCGUGUAGCAUUGAAAUGCGUAGAUAUGCGGAGGAACACCGAUGGCGAAGGCAAUCCCCUGGGCCUGUACUGACGCUCAUGCACGAAAGCGUGGGGAGCAAACAGGAUUAGAUACCCCAGU
rnacentral:rRNA from 1 species